rnacentral:lncRNA from 1 species
CGUAGCAGCAGCAACAGCCGGUGGCACGACCUCUUCAGCCUCCACUGAUAACUUUAACUGACUCGACAGAAAAAUCAUACUCCGUUAUCACUGCAACGUCUGCGUCAAUCCAUAUUUAUCUAAGAGACUUGUCGAGAUAACAAUAACUAGUAAUUAUUUUAAAAAGGAUGAAUUGUUUUGUCGAAGAGGAAUUAAAAAAGAGAAAAAAAAAAUAACAAAUUUUCUCAUCACGAUGAUAAAUAAAUUAAUCAUACCAACGGAACAAUAACUACUUAAUUAAAUGUUAACAAACGUUACACAAUUACGUCAUUGCGAUCGGUAAUCUCGAAAAACAACGACGAAGACUUUGUCAUCUUCGGAAGCGUGGUCGAUCGUGAAUCACGAUCGUGUGUUAUAAGCUCGUGUCGCGUUAUUAUAAUAAGCCGGAUAAAUAUCGGCAAGCAAAAGGCACGACACAACGAAGCAAAAGAGAAAGAGAGAGUGGGAGAAGAGAAUUUUCCUCGUACGAUUUCGCUGUACUCAUGACUUCUCGAAUAAUAAUCCCGGAACGGAAGGAAACGUUACAAAGAAGCGACAGGAAGUAACUUCCGUGUUAUUUGAUAAUAAACGCGACUGUAUGAUACGUAGAUGAGUCAAAGGUACAAAAUGAGAAUGGGGAACGAUUACUAAUUAUUAACAAAUUAUGAUUUAUCGGAAAAAUAAUGAAGAAACUUAUAAGAAUAGAAACAAUUGUUAACGAUUUUCACCCACUGAUCAUCGAAAAUUUAAAAAUCACUCUUAUGUGAAAGAGGGGAAGAAAGAAAAGCUAGAGAGAGAGAGAAAGAGAGAGAGAGAGAGAAGAGAAGCAUAGAUGGGUAGGGGGAGAAAGAUAACAAGUAUAAGAAAAAUAAGAAGGCUUUCAGUCCAACCACGAAGCACCUUUCUGUCUUUGCAUUCGAAUCGGGAAGCCGUGCAGCAAUGCAACUCUUUAAGUAUUCUUCUCAUAAUGUCCCUAUUGCCGUGUGAUUUCCUUCUCUCUCUUUCCUUCUCAUUCCCAUUCUCUUAUUCUCAUUCUCAUUCCCUGGCAUUGCGAAGAUAUUUACAAAAUGUAUCGUGGCCGAUGAACGAGAAGGCGGAGUAGGGUUCGGUGAUCCUGAAUAAAUAUGCUGAAUCACCUUGAACUUUCUCACCUCGAACGAAGCUGUCAAUCGGGUCCAUGUAGAAAUAAAAAAAAAACAAACAAAAAAAAUAGUAUACCAGAAUAUUAAGAAAAAUAUUUUUUAUGUAUAAAAUAAGACAAAUAAUUCCAGUUAGACUCGCCGUUACUUUUGCAAAUCAAAAUUAGAUAAAGAAAGGAAUACCUAAAAUUACACAAAUUUUCAAACGACGUUAUAGCUUAUACGUUAACACAGUUAUACAUAUAUAUAAUAGUAUACGUAAGUGUACAUAGUUAUAUAGUACAUAUAAUACAUAUUUAUCAGGUCAGGUUAAAAGUUCGUGCGCAUUAUACUAUUUAAAAAUUUCGCAAAAAUGCGCACGAAUUUUUGGACUGACCUAAUACAUAAUAAUAUAUAGCAUAUACUUUUUAUAAUUAUAUACAGUAGAAGUAAAGAACUUGCGGGGGUCGUGAGAUUUAAACUCUCCUCGGGACAUUUUUGGGCAGCCCUUGUUGGACACCUGUGAGGAUCACGCCGUGUAUAAACGGUGGGUUUGAAAGAAGAACGAAGGGAAAAGAGAGUUA